AACUGGAUAGCCUAGUGGUAAAGGCAUGACAUUGACAAUGCUGAGGUCCCAGGUUCAAAUCCUGGUCUAGUCA
rnacentral:tRNA from 1 species